rnacentral:rRNA from 1 species
GUCGAGGAUCUUCGGCAAUGGGCGCAAGCCUGACCGAGCGACGCCGCGUGUGCGAUGAAGGCCUUCGGGUUGUAAAGCACUGUCGAGGGGGAGAAAAGCCCGCAAGGGUUUGAUCGACCUCUGGAGGAAGCACGGGCUAAGUUCGUGCCAGCAGCCGCGGUAAGACGAACCGUGCGAACGUUGUUCGGAAUCACUGGGCUUAAAGGGCGCGUAGGCGGGCUCACCAGUCAGGGGUGAAAUCCCACGGCUCAACCGUGGAAGUGCCUUUGAUACUGUGGGUCUCGAGGGAGGUAGGGGCGUGCGGAACUUCCGGUGGAGCGGUGAAAUGCGUAGAUAUCGGAAGGAACACCGGUGGCGAAAGCGGCGCGCUGGACCUCUUCUGACGCUGAGGCGCGAAAGCCAGGGGAGCAAACGGGAUUAGAUACCCGGGUAGUCC